UACGAAGGGGGCAAGCGUUGUUCGGAAUUACUGGGCGUAAAGCGUGCGCAGGCGGUUCGCUAAGACAGAUGUGAAAUCCCCGGGCUUAACCUGGGAACUGCAUUUGUGACUGGCGGGCUAGAGUAUGGCAGAGGGGGGUAGAAUUCCACGUGUAGCAGUGAAAUGCGUAGAGAUGUGGAGGAAUACCGAUGGCGAAGGCAGCCCCCUGGGCCAAUACUGACGCUCAUGCACGAAAGCGUGGGGAGCAAACAGG
rnacentral:rRNA from 1 species